rnacentral:lncRNA from 1 species
GCCGUGCUCGCAAUCGUCUCUCUCGCUCGGUCGUGACACAAUUGAUGACGAAAUUGGCAACCACCUCCUGCGUUCUCUUCUAUAUACCCACCCCACUGUCGCAUAACUUCUCGCCUCCCUCUCCAAAUCCAAAUCGCGCAGAAGCACACGUCCCUGCACACGGCGGUUUUCAGGUGAGUCAUCUCCCUCUCCUCCCUCCCCUCUGUUCUCGGUUGGCCGGCGGCCAUGGUGCCCGCACGAUGGUCUGGCGUAGUCGGUCAGCCUCGCCCCCCGCCGAUCCUGGUCCUCCGGCGAACCCCCUGGCUACCUUCUCCAAUGGCGAGGCCGCUCGUCGCGCGCCCACCCUCGUCGUUCCAGCCGCUCCGCUCAUUAGCCACCAUGCGCGCUAUCAUUGAUGUUGUCUCAGACGUUCUAGUCCCAGCCAUCCGGUCGCCGUGGCCCUCGGCUAGCCGUUCGCUAGAACCUCCUGGUCCGUACGCUAGUGGCGGUGGCGACCUAGCAAGAUUUAGUCUGACGCCAUGUCUUCAGGCUCCAUUGCAUGUGCCCUUUCUGCAUAUUCGACGAAAUGUCCCAUAACAGUCGAUGCCUCUCAGCAUAUUUAUCACUUCAUACAAUUAGAUGUGGUGCAUACAGCCUUGCUUCCCUCCACUAUUCAUUCUUUCUUUUUUUCCUUGAUAGCAGACAACACCAAGGCGCCAUCGUGCUUGACUCAUAGUGAAAGUUCUUUUUUAAAAUCCCCCUAUGCAUUGCAAACUCCAGAUGAUAAUGGCUAAGUUUAAUUCCUACCAUCAUAGCAGUGCCAUGCAUGUUAAGCGAAAUCAUGCAUUAAAAAAAGAGAACAAACGUAAUUUUCUUCUGAGUUCACUUUAUUCCUUUUGUCUGUUGUAGUUUUCUCUGUUCCUUGAAAUAAUCGUACAUACCUUAUUUAUAUAUCCACAUAUCAGCUCUGCAGAUUAUUUUUAAUGGGCAUGGUUUUCUUCCAACAUUCGUAUUUUUUCUCUAUUUAAAUUCCGUUUUCCAUAAUUUCUAAUCAAAUGUAUUUUUUUGUUGUAGCAAUGUUGUCUACGCUUUAAAGUCGUUAUUCUACCAUGUCACAUGUUUUUUUCUAAUUAUGAAAAUGCUAACUGAAAUAUUCUUUAUUAUUAAUUGUUUAGUUUAAUCAUGGUAUUUAAUUAUUAGUUUUCGCGUAUCGUGUCGGCCCGUGCGCCGUACGCGUGCCGCAGUAUUGUGUCACGCGCAUCGUCGCGUGUCGCGCGUGCUGCUUGCACGUGUUGUCACGCGCUGUUCGCGUGUGUCGCGCGCCGUUCGCAUGUUAUCCGCGCGCGAGAUUAAAUCGUUCAUUUAUAAUCUCUCAUGUCAGUUAAUUAGUUAUUUAUUUAAUCAUCCACAAUUCAAACAGUAAGUUAGUCAAAACUAAGUAGUUUUAAUCUAUAUUUCAUAAAUACUAAUUAAUAUGAUUAUGUCGAUUAAUACUUAUUUAGUGUAAAUACGAUAACUUCUCGACCGUAGCUCCGUCUGUCGCGUUUCUUUUCGUCGCGUGGCCGUAGUAGCGAGCUCUAUUUCGUAUUGCAUGUUUUUAUUAUGUUCUCUUUGGCAUGGUGUAAUGUUCUUAUGCAUAUAUAUGUUUGUUUGCUUGGGCCUGUUUGUCUUCGCUUCGUGUUGCGAUUAGACUGCGAUCCAUUCCGAGCUUCGAGGAAUCGAUGGUCAAGCUUCGGUGACUAAGAGAUCAAACUCUUCAAGUUCUACGAGGCUGAAGAUCCUGAGCAUCUGUUUGGUGAAGGCAAGUGUCCUCUGACCCAUUAUGUCCUAUCUACUUAUAAUUCACUGUCCCGCAUUACUUAAUUGAAACAUAAGGAUUGACUAGCUUUCUAUUUACCUAGUCCUUGAUUACCUUUUGGGUUAUCAUGGUUAGCCUAUGCUAAUGCUUUAACUUAAUCAAUGAACAUGAUGUGAUUAUUUAUCAUACGAUGAUGUUAUCCCAAUGAUGAUACUGUGAUACUUUAGGGGGCUCGAGCAGUUUCUCGAGUGCCUCUCCGUAAGGACCUGUUCGUUGAGAGACCACCCGGGAUAACAGUGCAACCAUGAGGGUGAAAUGGGAGGCCCUUAGCUAAUUAAUUAGAGGAACUAGAGGUGUAGUUGCUUCGCCGUCGUGCCGUCAAUGGGGUCCAGGCACAGUGCUUGCUCUGCCGAGGCUGGGUGCCGAGGUUCUUUCAUUUUGCUUUUGUUAGUCACCCUCCUGCGGGGAGGGGUACUGUGUUUAUCAAACUGGAGAAACCUAACGGGCGGCUAUGACCUCUAGGGAAUCUUUGUAAAAGCUAUGUAGUGAUACCCUGCCGGACCACCUAGGAAGUGAUCAAUGGGGAGUCAUGAUCCCUGGGCAAAACGGGAAUCACGACUCAUGGGUAAAGUGUGCGACCUCUGCAGAGGGUUAGAAACUGAUAUAUCAGCCGUGCUCACGGUUAUGAGCGGCCUUGGGAUCCUCUUUGAUUAGAGUUACAGAUGGGUCGAUAUAUAUAUAAUAGUUCUAUUUAAUAUUUUGGUUCGGUGAUGAUAAUGAUGUUCCUCGAUGAGGAAAAGGUUCACGGGUUGGGUAUAUGAUAAAACUUGGCUUCUACUAAUAAUAAAUACCUGACCAACUAAAAGCAACUGCUUGAGCUUAACCUCACAUAAAGCUAGUCCACUUUAGCCAAACGGGACAUUUGCUGAGUACGUUGAUGUGUACUCACCCUUGCUUUCACAAAACACCAGGUUGCCUUUGGUGCAAUCUAUGCUCAGGUAAAGAAGAAGGCGUCGAGGCGGAUCUCCAGGAGUUCUAGGACUUCGACGAGUUCGAGGAUUAGGCUAGCGACCUCCCCCAGUCAGCUGCCUGUGGUGGGUUUAUUUACGUUGGCUACGUUUCUAUUCUGUGUACUUUGAUUAUAUUAUGUAAAUGACUCUAGUCUUUCAUAUUAUUACUUAUCUUUAUUGUUAUUUGAAGCAUUGUGCUAUGAUGAGUCAUUUAUGUAAUCGCUGUGUACGUGAAUUUCUGAUCCUGGCACGUACAUGGUUCGCAUUCGGUUUACCUUCCGAAACUGGGUGUGACAGAUUCCCAGCAUGCAUCCAUGACGUCGACCGCCCUCAGCUCUCUACGAAGGCAAAGAAACGUCAGCAGGACCUGGGGCCGCACCGCCAGCUACGCUUCUACAGGGCUCAAGCACUUCUCCGCCGGCCACGUUAGCACAUAGCUACACCCCCAUAUGUACAGCUGGAUCACCUCGUAUCUAUAAAAGGAGAUGCCCAGGGCCUUCCCACGAUAGGCUUUGAAGGCUAACUUAGACGUCUCACUUCAAGGCAAAAAACCUUCUCUCCACAACACGAGACCUCUCAAGAGACCUGGUAUCCGUUCCCUCUCUCGCGAAGCUUGUAACCCCUACUACAAGCACCCCGGUGCAAGAUAAUAUAAGCCUCAUCCUCCCUCUUGUGUUUCAUCUUGCAUCAAUCCAUCCGGGCAGGGACACGCAGUAUAAAAUUCACUAGUCGGUUGAGGGUCCCCGUGGGUCCAAAACACUGAUAGAAAUAUAAGGCAAAGAAGUUCAAAAGUCGUUCAUAAAGGGAUGCAGAACUUAUACCACCGAAAUAGAAGGUGAAGAAGCUCAAAAGUCGUUCCUAAGGGGAUGCAGAGCUUAGACUCAAAAGACGUUCCCAAGGGGAUGCAGAGUCUUUCGUGUACCAGUGUGGGCGUAAGUUUGGGUGUUAAAGCAUCAUCACAUUGCAUCAUAUCAUUGCAUCAUUCAGCAUAGCAUCACAUCAUACAUCAUAUCGCAUCAACAGAAAGAUUGAAUACGAAGCAAAUCUUUGGAAAUACUUCGUUGAAUGAAAAUGUGCUAAGGCACGAAGCAAGCUUCGGGUAACAAUUCUAUCAGAUCUGCCCUAGACGGGGCUUCCUUCUUUACGAAGCAUGAAAAGAAGGGAAAUUGUUUUUUCACCGAAGGCUCAAAAAGAGGUAUGUGUGUAUGUUUCAUGCAUCGCAAAGAAAUAAAAUUACAACAACUUACACAUUCGAUUCAAUGUUACAAACAUCAAAUGUUACAUAGUUUUAUUACAAUAGAAGUCUAAUCUUCCUUCAAUUGUCCCAUACAUCAAGCAUUUCAAAAUGUUAUUACAAUAAAAUCUUUUCUUCGCUAAGGACUUUUUCUGCAACUUCGUUCAAAAGUUUAUCGAUGACUUCGUCGAUAAUGGAGUUCGCCAUGCUUAUGAUAUCCAGUGCUUCCUUCAUUUCUGGAUCAUCUAGGGGAUUGUAUGGCUCCGACGGCGGGGAUAGUUCAGCUGUAGUAGGUAAACUGUUAAUUCGAAGCCACAAAGCAAGUAUUGAAGCUAAAAAAAUCAAAAAUAAUACCUAUGCGCCUUUCGCGUUCAGCAGCCUCUUCAGCUCGUUUUGCUUCUUCCCGAGCGUCGUGGGUGUCUUUUUCAUUCUUUUUUAUAAUUUCAUUGGCCAGCUCUCAGCCAUCGUUCACCCAGACAUCAGAAUAAAACUUCCCGCCCACUAAAGUUGCUUCGACUGAAGGAUCCUUCGUAUCAUCUAAGGAGAAGGCAGCUUCGGCUUGGGCUAUAGCCUUGACGUGAUCACAUCCGGCCUUCUCCAGAAUAGCUGAGAUUCCCCGAGCACCGGAAAAUGCACAAAUAUUCCCGCGAUCAUUCAAGAUUUCCUCGAAGGCUUCGGCUUCUCCACUUAUCCAUUCAAUAACGCCCUCGGGGUCGCCUAAGAUAAAAUUUUCUUCAGAAGAGUAGGCGCCCACUUUGGAGAAGCUAGUUUUUAAUUUCUUCACGCAAUCCAAGGAUUUUUCAAAACACUUUUCCUUGGAUUCGCGAAGUUCUUCAACAUUUUUCUCUAGCUUAUUCUUCCAAUAUUCACUAAUCUCUUGGUUAGCCUGUGCGAGCGUGCAGUUCUCAUUAGCUUCGGCCAAUUGUCUCCGAAGGUAUUCAACCUCGGCUUUUUGGGCUUCGGCCUGAACUUUGUACUUAGCUUCGUCUUCUUUUAUUUUAUUCACCAAAGAAAUCAAAAUUUUGUAUUUCUCUAGACCUUCAUUUCUCAGUUCAAUCAGCUCUGAGCGAAGGUUGUUAAGAGCCAUUGUAUAGCCUUCGUCUUCGGCGCUCUUUGGUGCCCUCAAGGCAUUACUAAGAAUUAAGCCCAGCAAAGAAAAAGAAAGAAUUGAGCAUGGCAAUAAAAUACUUCAUUUCCAACUUCAAAGUUAAUUUCUAUACCUUUAUACUGUUGUACGCGAGGCUAUCAGCAAGAUCAUCCUUCGACAAAACCGGAAGGCCUUCUUCAAGCUUCGGAAAUCCCAUACUUUUAGCUAUCUCCCAGCAAACAGAUAUUUCUUUGUUGUCCGGGAGACAGUAUAGGAAAUCAUCUUCGUUAGUGCCAUUGAACACUAAAGCCCCCUUUGGAUAUAUUUAGUUUCUAGGCAUAGCGUCUGGCUUCCAGGAUUUCCUAUUCGGAUAAUUUUUUCCCUGAAGCAUGUCGAAAAAUGUAAUCAACAUCUUCGACUGAAGCUUCGGGGCAGGGGAUUUUGCUUUUUCUACCAUACCCUGCCCUGCUGCCAUGCUGGUAUCUGAAGUUUGUUGAUCAGCUUUGUCUUCAGCCCCGACAGCCUUCGUCUCAAUAAGCACUACGGGCCCAGCUUUAGCUUCGGCCUGGACUUUGGCAACUUCAGCAAUUUUCAAAAUAGGAGUAGGGGUCAAGGCCUUCGUGGUCUUCAUAACAGCGUCAAGCACGCUGGCCAUCCUCCUCCUCUUGGGAGUUGCGACAGGACCUUUUUGCACCUUCGACAGAUUUGCCUCUACCGGUGGGCUCAGAAUUUCUGGCAUUUUUAUUGUUUCUUCCACCUUUGGCUCUUCAGCCUUAUCAUCCUUAGCUUCGGCUGGCCUGACUGUAGGCACCUUCAGCACUACAAUCGGCUCUUCAAUGCUCUGCACAACCGGAGCAGCUUGUUUUGCUUCGGCAGUUGAAGAGGUCCCUUCGCCAAAUUCAGGCACUAUGGCCGGUUCAAUAUAUCGUGGCCAGUGGGUUAGAACCUUCAUUUUCUUGCCCUUCGACAUAACAGUCGUGGCCGAAGCGACAAUUUUUCUCUUCUUCCCUUGCCUUCGUAGCGGGUAGUGAUAAUCAGGGUAUACGAAGCCAAUCACAUCAAAUACCCUGUUCAAUCUUUUCUUGCCCCGACCCCCGAAGGCUGCGAACAAGGCAUCAUCUUCGACCUUGGAAUAUGUCCUAAGAAGCUCGUCACUGGUAGCUUCAAUACAUUUCAACUAGUCAUCAUUUGGUUCAUCAAACUUCUCUCUAAAUCUGAAGGUAUAUUACAACCGAACCAGGCCACCUUCACUAGAUUCGACAGUAGUUUCCUUCGGCAUAUCCCAGCUCUCCACAAGUGGCCACACCCUAAAGGAUAUGUGCUCUUGAAUUAAAUCCCUCGUACCAAUGAAGGCGCAAACAGUACUAAAGGCCUUCUGGCAUGCUUCAACAUCGCCAUCAAUAUCCACCUUCGGCCUUCGGAGGCCGAAGCGAGACCAGAUGGGGCGUUGGAUAAUUUCCUUGAUGUCUUCCCUUUUAAUCAGAUCAUUUUUAACAUAAAACCACUCCUCCAUCCAGGCCCCGGGCCAUCUUUUCCGGUAUGUGGGCACCGGGUAACUUGCAUUAGAGCGGGCAAUGAACCCAUAGCAGCCGAAGUUGUUGUGGUAUUGUUCUUUGCUAAUAGCCUUCGUCUCGUAUAAAAGCUCGUGCAUACUGCAGAAGCACUUCGCGCUCGGCUCCAGCCCCUGGCUUCUUACAGCCCAGAUAAACAUCUCCAUCCUAAUUAUAGCUUCGGGGGUAAUCUGAUGAAGAAAAAUCUGAAAAAUCUUUAAUACCUCAACCAAAAAUUUGCUCAGUGGGAACCGGAGACCUGCUUUCAGGAAGUUUCGGUAAAUAACAACUUCGUUUUCCUCAGGAGCAGGGACAGUGUUGUCUCCUCCAACUCUGACAAUAGACUUGUCGCGAAAAUAUCUCCCCCUCAUGGCGUCAAUAUGACUUUGUUUUUUAGUCGAUUUUCCGAAGAUAGUAUGACUUGGCCGCCAGGGCCGAUCCUCAGAAUCUUCAUCCCCACUCUCCACGUCAUAACUAUCACUAUCAUCAGAAUCUUCGGACAAACCCUCCAUGAUCUCCUUAGUAAUUUUCUCUAUAUUCGUUUUUGCCAUGGACUCAUAAAACCCAACGAUGAAAGGAUUCGCAACUUUCUUCUCUUCAUACAGCUUCUUCUCCUCGGUUAUCUUCUACUCCCCACUCAUCUUCCUCUCCUCAAAUUUGGAGCAAGCACGCCUUUAAACCGAAGCUCUAAAAGCUCGAAAAUCAGGUGAGAGCUAUUGAGCAAGAGCUAGAAAUUUGAGAAAAUAACGCAAAUAGCAGAAAUAGCGUACCAAAUGCUGCCGCUGUGGGUUCAUAUUUAUACGCCUAGUGCUUUGCAACUUGGCAGGCCCCGUCUGUCAUUGACUGUCGCUAUUCUAGCGAAGGGAAGAUGUUUUUUCGGACCUUCGGCUUAAGGCCUUCGUUCAUGUCGCAGUCUAAAUCUGUUGUUAUAACAAAUUAAUACUGCGAGGGGCUACUGUUGGGGUCCUUCAUCUUCCGAAGGUCCUCAAAAACACGACUAACAUGUUUCCCAAGUAUAAUAUAUGUACAGGAACCUUCGGACAUGGGAUGCAGUUGUACAUGAUAUGAAGAGCGCGGUUCAGGAGAAGGAUGAACCAGUGCCGAAGCUACCCGUGACAAAGCUUCGGCUUAGCGAUGGAAAAUUAAACCGACUUAAAUGGGAAAAUGUUGUCUAGUCCUCGAUAGAUUAUCCCUAAGUCAAUAGUAAAUGUCAAAGGCAUGAAUAUAAUUCCACACAAGCUGUGUCCUGUGGCUAUAAAUAGAUGAACGGUGACACCAUACUGUUCAUGCUGACUUGUAUUCACUCGCACGUCACGCUUGGGUUUUUAUCUUCUGUCAAGCCGAAGGUAU